GGACAAAGCCCACGGCCCACCCAAGGCUUCGUCUCCCUCCUCCUCUCCCCUUCCCAUUUCGCCGAUCCCACCCACGGCGGCGCCGCCACCGCCACCGCCACCGCCCACCGGACUUUGUGUAGAGAGCUCGAUGGGAAUCCGCGGCGGCGGAGGAGACCGGCCGGCUCAUGGAGGGGAAGAUGCAGGGCCACGCGUGGAGGAGGCCGGCUCAUGCUUCUUCUUCUCCGUCGAUGGGGACAGCACGUAAUGGAGUUGGCAUGAUUGAAUUACAGGAUGUUCCUGCUCACUGAAACAAGUAAAUGAUGACAUGAAAGGCCGAAAGCAGUGUGUUUCUACCCAGGUUUGAUCCAAGCUUGUGUCGGCUGAAAAUUCAUCAUCUCUUAUCAUGUGCUAGCCCGCCUUGAUUGAUUGAUGCUACUGGACAGUUUGGGAUUGGUAAUUUUCUGGGAGUGCCUUAUGGGGACCAUCUCCCAUCAAUUGUUACUUGCCUCCUGAAUUACAUUUAACUGUGCUAUCUUGUUUGCAAUUCAGGUAAAGUCUCUGUUUAGGCUGUAUCAAUCAUGCAUGUGAACUAGUUAAUGCAAAGGACCUAGGAAUUGAUGAAAGUAUUAGGCAUCAGCAUCAAUGGAUUAGCAGCAGCUUCUAUCAUCCUGACUCAAUUCUGUACUCCCAGGGACAGCAGUUGCCUGCUGAUGUUGCUAGGCCACUAGUACUAUGUAGUAGUAUACAUUACAUUGGAUAUCUCAAUCAUUUGAUUAAACUGUAUAAUUUUUCGGCGAAAGCUACCUUUGAAUGGUGAUGUGGUUAGUUUGUAGAUCAUGCACUGACUAAAUUAAGUUUUCCUCUAAUGAAAAUGGUAGAAGGUUUACUCUGUAUGUAAUGGAACACAUGUAAUUUUUGUAUGCUUUAAUAUGAAAAUACCCAUGCAGUUUAUCAGUUUGUAUCCAGUGCAUUUAGGAAUAUCUAUCUCUAGUCUGCAAGUUAUUUUUUGGGGAUAAAAUCCUUAUUGUACUCUGAACUGUUUUACUUGCAUGUGAUUAGGAGUAGGAAGUAAGAAAUCCCCUCUUAUCUGCUCAUGUGAGACCUAACAGGCUAAUCUACCAGGAUUAAUUAAUUAAUUACAAAGGAGCAGUUAUGGAUUAUCUUACACUGGAAAAAGAAGUGGCCUAGUCAAGGAGAGUUUUCUUGGAGUGAGCUCCUUUGUGUUGAAAAAGAUGAUGUUGGGACAUAUGCAAUGGAUUUGGGUGCUCAAAGCAGUUGGUCACCCAUGUUCUGCUCCAUAAAUGAAAGAGAUGCAUGGGAACAAGCCUCAUGUUUCCAGGAAGAACAAUGGCAAAGGAUAACAGAUUUGUCUCUUCUCUUUUGAACACCUGUUAAUUAGUUUAUGAAAUCCUUUCCAACUGAAAUUUGGCACCUUCUGUGGCAGUCACUACCCAUUGCUGAUGAACAUGGCCUAAGUUUCAGUAAGUGCAAUCCCCUAUAUUAAUGCUUGAUAAGUACUUCCUCCGUUUCAUAAUGCAAGACUUUCUAGCAUUACCCACAUUCAUUUAGAUGUUAAUGAAUCUAAACACAUAUAUAUGUCUAGAUUCAUUAACAUCUAUGGGUACAUAGGCAAUGUUAGAAAGUCUUACAUUGUGAAACGGAGGGAGUAGCAACUCUGAAACUUGAAGAUUAAACAAACAGUAAUUUCCAAUGGAAGUUUUUGCUAAUGUUCGUCAGAACACCAGAUUUUUUUUUCCUUUUGAAUUUUGCAUGAUUGCCUUAAAUUUGUCGUCCAUUGUUGCUAAUUUGAUCAAAACAUGCUACAUUAGACAUGCUGAGGAUGUAUCAUAAAUUACUCUGCAAGUUGUAACAUCCAAAGUAGAUGGAUACUAGCAUACAUCAAUGUGCAGAGAGCAUAUCAAGAAUGAAUAAGCUCUCUACCAAAAGGAUAAAUAAAAUUCCGAUUCCAGCCAAGCCAAGGGCAUGAAUGAACUCGAUAAACCUAACAAUCUCUUUAUCUCACUGCAAAGCAAGAAUUACUACCAUGUCACACUAUGAACACCCUCGAUCACUCACUCACAAGUUGAAACGUCAAAACAAAAAAUAAAAAAAGAGAGCAAGGAACAGGUUUAAUUAAAAUUUGAUACUAACUUCCUAUUUACAUCAUAAUUAAGCAGGAUCAACUCUAUAAUAAUUCUAUCAUGACGACUCUUAACACUAAGCAGUUAGCAUCUACUAAUGUUUUUGGUUCAUGCAAAUAUUCGCUCGCCCUCAAUGGUAAUCACAUGUCACUGACAAGUGGGCCCUCAAUGGCAAUCCCUUGUCACUGACAGGUGGGCCACACGACCACCACCUAACGAACCAACCGGUCGUAAGCUGGACGCACGACAGCCGUCCGAUCCCGUGCACACGACAGCAUCGGAUCGGACGGUCAGUGCAGCCGAUGCCGCUUGGCGCUGAACG